rnacentral:rRNA from 1 species
GAUCAGUUGUUACCGACAUUGCCGCAGGAUGUGAUUUAUGUAGAAGAUGUGAAUGCCGUCGUCUCAGUUUACUGGCGUGAGCGGGGGGGCGAAGAGGCUCUUGAGCAGGUUUGCGAAUUUCUGGAGGCAAUAUCGCGAAUUGACGUCCCGCCGUUGGAAGGU